AUUGAACGCUGGCGGCAGGCCUAACACAUGCAAGUCGAGCGGAUGAAGGGAGCUUGCUCCUGGAUUCAGCGGCGGACGGGUGAGUAAUGCCUAGGAACCUGCCUGGUAGUGGGGGAUAACGUCCGGAAACGGGCGCUAAUACCGCAUACGUCCUGAGGGAGAAAGUGGGGGAUCUUCGGACCUCACGCUAUCAGAUGAGCCUAGGUCGGAUUAGCUAGUUGGUGGGGUAAAGGCCUACCAAGGCGACGAUCCGUAACUGGUCUGAGAGGAUGAUCAGUCACACUGGAACUGAGACACGGUCCAGACUCCUACGGGAGGCAGCAGUGGGGAAUAUUGGACAAUGGGCGAAAGCCUGAUCCAGCCAUGCCGCGUGUGUGAAGAAGGUCUUCGGAUUGUAAAGCACUUUAAGCUGGGAGGAAGGGCAGUAAGUUAAUACCUUGCUGUUUUGACGUUACCAACAGAAUAAGCACCGGCUAACUUCGUG
rnacentral:rRNA from 1 species